rnacentral:rRNA from 1 species
UACAGAGGUCCCAAGCGUUGUUCGGAUUCAUUGGGCGUAAAGGGUGCGUAGGCGGCGCGGUAAGUCGGGUGUGAAAUUUCGGAGCUUAACUCCGAAACUGCAUUCGAUACUGCCGUGCUUGAGGACUGGAGAGGAGACUGGAAUUUACGGUGUAGCGGUGGAAUGCGCAGAUAUCAGGAGGAACACCGGUGGCGAAGGCGGGUCUCUGGGCAGUAACUGACGCUGAGGAGCGAAAGCGUGGGGAGCGAACAGG